CCUACGGGAGGCAGCAGUGAGGAAUAUUGGUCAAUGGGCUUACGCCUGAACCAGCCAAGUCGCGUGAGGGACGACUGCCCUAUGGGUUGUAAACCUCUUUUGUCAGGGAGCAAUUUGCGCUACGUGUAGCGUUAUCGGGAGUACCUGAAGAAAAAGCAUCGGCUAACUCCGUGCCAGCAGCCGCGGUAAUACGGAGGAUGCGAUCGUUAUCCGGAUUUAUUGGGUUUAAAGGUUGCGUAGGCGGAAUGCCAAGUCAGCGGUAAAAUCGCGGGGCUCAACCUCGCUCAGCCGUUGAAACUGGCGGUCUUGAGUGGGCGAGAAGUAUGCGGAAUGCGUGGUGUAGCGGUGAAAUGCAUAGAUAUCACGCAGAACUCCGAUUGCGAAGGCAGCAUACCGGCGCCCAACUGACGCUGAAGCACGAAAGCGUGGGUAUCGAACAGGAUUAGAUACCCCAGUAGUC
rnacentral:rRNA from 1 species